AAGUCGUAACAAGGUUUCCGUAGGUGAACCUGCGGAAGGAUCAUUAACAAAUUUCUAUACCAAACACACUUGUGAACUGUUAUCAUCUCCAUGGUGAAUUCCGUCCUGGGAUGCCCGGCAUUAAUUUGCUGUGCGCCUAGGUGGGCCACCAUGUUUAUUUACGUCUACUUAAAACUGUACUGAGACUUUAUUUUACAAUAAAGACAACUUUUAGCAACGGAUCUCUUGGCUCUC
rnacentral:misc_RNA from 1 species